CUCCCCAGGCGGGGUACUUAAAGCGUUAGCUACGGCGCGGAACCCGUGGAAUGGACCCCACACCUAGUACCCACCGUUUACAGCGUGGACUACCAGGGUAUCUAAGCCUGUUCGCUCCCCACGCUUUCGCUCCUCAGCGUCAGGAAAGGCCCAGAGAACCGCCUUCGCCACUGGUGUUCCUCCUGAUAUCUGCGCAUUCCACCGCUCCACCAGGAAUUCCAUUCUCCCCUACCUUCCUCAAGUCAACCCGUAUCGAAAGCACGCUCAGGGUUAAGCCCCAAGAUUACACUUCCGACGCGAUCAACCACCUACGAGCCCUUUACGCCCAAUAAAUCCGGACAACGCUCGCACCCUACGUAUCACCGCGGCUGCUGGCACGUAGUUAGCCGGUGCUUCUUUACCCAUUACCGUCACUCACGCUUCGUCACAGGCGAAAGCGGUUUACAACCCGAAGGCCGUCAUCCCGCACGCGGCGUUGCUGCAUCAGGCUUCCGCCCAUUGUGCAAUAUUCCCCACUGCUGCCUCCCGUAGGAGUCUGGGCCGUAUCUCAGUCCCAAUGUGGCCGGUCACCCUCUCAGGCCGGCUACCCGUCAAAGCCUUGGUAAGCCACUACCCCACCAACAAGCUGAUAAGCCGCGAGUCCAUCCCCAACCG
rnacentral:rRNA from 1 species